AAAAGCAGUGCAUUUCCAAGCAGCAGAAAGGAACUUUACUGACUUCUCCCUGCAGAAAGCAUGGGCAUUUUUCUCUGCAGAUUCCUUCUUUGCCCUGAUUUUGAUUGUUUGUGCUCUGCUGAGCUGAAGAUCCAGCCUGGUGAUCAUUAUCUCUGCAGGAGAACACAACGAGGACAUGCAGGAGAAACAACAGAGGAGGACAGUGGACAGAAUCAGAAGCGGGGAUGAGAGAGCUGGGGAGAGACAUGCGAGAAAGUGCCACAGCCUGGAUUCGAACCUGGGCCGACUGCGUACACCGAGUAAACGUCUAAAGAUUCCUCCCAUAAUCCUCGCUGUCUGCAGCACCUGUGCACAAACUCCUGCCAAUGCAAACUCGCCGUGUUCGUCCUCGUCUGCUACACGUCUGCUAAUUCACCCGGAGGAGUCGAGCGGAGUGCACACAGCCGCUCGGAGGGAGUGUUGUGCAUUAAAAAUCCUUUUGAGCCCGUCGGCGUCGGAUACACACACCUGAGCGGAGCUGCGGGCUUUUAGCGCCGAGGAGGAAGUUCAAUAACACGAGACGUUCAGUAUUCUCCCUGCGUCCUGCCUCUUUGUUUUUUUUUCUUCCUGAGAGUCGAGCGGAGUCGAGGAGCAUGAAAGUGACUUCCUUCGAUGGCCUCUGCAGCCCGCGGCGUUCUGUUCAAUCCCUCCAUCGCCGUGAUGGACUUCAGGGUCACGACUCGCUUCCUCCUGGAAGAUCGCCUGCACCGAGCGCGCUCUGAAGAUUCUCACUUUGGUGCAUCAAAUCAGCAUCUCCUACAGCCACAGUGAUGUAAAACCUCUACAAUCGGGCAUCCCUGACCAUAGCGUGGGAGGUUACAAACAUAGCCCUAACUGGAACCAGACUGACAACUGAAUGACGUGUUUUCUACUUACUGUCAGAGGCAAUGGUUUGAAGCAUGAAGUUUCCUAUUGAGGCCCACUGCCAUCUUGGUUUUUUGAAGCCUGAGGGGAUCAUAUUUGGACGAGAUGAAGGCACGAGAAGAGCUAAGGUCUGUCGAUAACUGAUCCAUGUGUAGAAGAAGCAGACGUUUGCAGAGAAAGUCCAUGAGAUGUGACUGAGAGAAGAGGACAACACCAGUGCCGCUCCGCUGCGAGGACAUGAGAAGAGCAGUGGUGGUUCUUGUGUUGAGGCCUCCUCCUCCUCCUCCUCCUCCUCCUCCUCGGCUCUGCGGCUGCCUUCAGCUCGUCGUGUUUGAAAGACGACUGCUGCACCCUACAGUUUAAAAUCUCUCACUGAGCACUUCAAGCACAGCACUCCCUCCGCUUCCUCACUCUGAAUUCUCAACAAUAUU